rnacentral:lncRNA from 1 species
CUUCUUUAUCUUAUCAUUGACCUAAGCCUGGGCGUAUGAGGCUUUCUAACUUUGUUUUUAGUAAGGAAACUCUGUUUCUUUUCGACUCUGUUAGUGAUCCCGAAUCGAGCUUGAUACCUAGUGGGGAUUAUUGCGUUGGAUUGAUCAGUCGAUAAUCCCCUUAUGACUUCAAGAAGAGACAAAAGGUCAAUGUUUUAUGUGAAAAAA